AUGGAACUGUUGAGCUGGAGACCAUGAUCUGGAGGCAGGAAGGCCACUAACCCCUCUGCUCUGUGCAUUACAGCUGUUCUCUGAGGCUCGCAGCCAGAUACUGUGAAGGCCACAGCUCAAGGAAGCAGGAAUAGAACAAGAUGCUAAGUCAGAAGAUGAAUGCAGGCCCGACCUAACCAGGUAGAGAGUUAGUGGUCCAGCCUGCCUGACAGAGUCUGGGAGGACAUUUGAAGUAAACAUGCUGGAGUCCAGGAGAAGAGGGUCUUCCUUAAUCCCAGAGCCCCCUUCUUGCAAAGGAUGGAGAGGAGCCCCUCACGUGACCUGGAGCACAAGCCAGUGCACUGGAGGAUGCGCGCAUCAAAGGGUCUGAGUAUGAUGAAACAAGCCCUGUGCAUCAUCUCCAAAGCCGGACGUGCUGCCAACCAGUGAAGCUCCACCAGGGUCUGCAAACCGCGUCUGAACCAGGUGCGCGGAGGAAGGUGAUUUUUAAGCCCGUUGUCCAAGAAUGGAGAGACACUGAACUUGUUGAGGUUUGACACGCGAGUCUGUCAGCCCUAGCAGCCAUCUACUAUUGCCGUUGGCCGCUCUGUACCUCAUGUCCUCACAUGAAAACAAAGCCAAAGAACCACUGUGAUCCUUCCCCGCUCUCUAGAAUUACUUCCAUAUUGAAAAACAAGACAAAACAAACAAACCAACCACCGAAGUGUAAUUUACACAAAUCAAAAGCAUCCAUUUUAAGCACACAGUUCCAAGUGUCUUGGCAACUUAUAUGUAAGUUACAGAGUAUUUUCCUCACCCCGAAAUGGGAUUUCCAUUUCCUUUUCUUUUGCAUUAAUUCCCUGCCCCCAUCCUCAACCAUAGAUGGACUUGCUGCAUCUACAAAUAGCUUUGUGUAUUUUAGAGUUUCAUUAUAUCAGAUGUACAGUAUGUAUCUUACUAUAUUUUUGAUCGUGGUAAAAUAUGUGUAAUGAAAAUAAAGAGAACUACAUAAAGUUUUGUGCUCUUCUGGCACAAAGGCCAUGCUCAUCUUCACCACUGUUGCAGUUA